UGGGGAAUAUUGCACAAUGGGCGCAAGCCUGAUGCAGCCAUGCCGCGUGUGUGAAGAAGGCCUUCGGGUUGUAAAGCACUUUCAGCGGGGAGGAAGGCGUUAAGGUUAAUAACCUUGGCGAUUGACGUUACCCGCAGAAGAAGCACCGGCUAACUCCGUGCCAGCAGCCGCGGUAAUACGGAGGGUGCAAGCGUUAAUCGGAAUUACUGGGCGUAAAGCGCACGCAGGCGGUCUGUCAAGUCGGAUGUGAAAUCCCCGGGCUCAACCUGGGAACUGCAUUCGAAACUGGCAGGCUAGAGUCUUGUAGAGGGGGGUAGAAUUCCAGGUGUAGCGGUGAAAUGCGUAGAGAUCUGGAGGAAUACCGGUGGCGAAGGCGGCCCCCUGGACAAAGACUGACGCGCAGGUGCGAAAGCGUGGGGAGCAAACAGG
rnacentral:rRNA from 1 species